UUUCUGGCAGAACCUGAGCAGUGACAUUACAGAGUUAUUGUAAUGGAAAUGGGAAUGUUUUACAAGGUUGUAGCUUCAAGACGUCUGUCAAGAACCAAAUGUAACAAUUUUUAUUCAAACUGUGUAAAAGAGCACAAGUCCAGACGGAAGAAGAAGACGCAGCCACCACCCAAAACAAAGCGGAAGAAUCUAAGCCCCGCCCCCAAACCCACGUUCCGUUCUCCCACCGGUUCCAUUAGCCCCGCCCACUCACGCACCUGCCCGCAGUGGAUCAUCCAACCCAAGUAGUCGUUCACCUUUUCUGGACGUGUGAAACGCCAGGGUCGGACUUCUCCUUCGUCUCUGCCUGGUAACUGAGCCCCGACAUGAGCUUUGAACGUGUUGUCGUCUUUGUUUGAGCCUCAAACCGGUAAACUGUGACCAUGUUUCCACUCAGCGCAGACGUAUUCAUGGAUGAAGACGCCGGGAGCAAUUGAACACAAAUGCCUGCAUGAAGGACGGAGGGAAUAGUUGAUGAGCGCUGGAAUCAUCACCUCAGUCCUCCUCACCCCAACACAGAGCGGAAGAUGAAAAACCGUCCUUUUCAGUGACGAGCGCUAACGGCUAGCUGCCGGUUAGCUCAUCCUCCACCUGCUCCGUCCACCAGACAAAAUAUGCACCAGCAGCGUGAACGCUUGGGCUCCACGAUCACCGGAGGCCUAAUUAAAUUAUUGCUCUCAGUGGAACUGCACACACCCAGCGCGGAAGCAGGUGCAAUUCAAUAACUCAACUAUUAUAAAUUAUCAUUGUCACAAAGCAAAAUGAAUGGAACUGGGCUUAACCUUUAAAUGGAGCAACUAAAAUAAAGUAGCUGCUACUCGUUUGAGCAGCA